GUCCAGUGCUCGAGGGCAAGGACCAGAACCUGGACCACAGGGACAGAGACACUCCCAAGCUCAGAUGUGAUGUGAUCCCAGGCUUGUGGUCUUAUCAGAGAACUCAGGGAUCCCUUUCCUUGUAUGGAGACAGGGUCACUGGGCCCAGGAGGCCAGCCCCUAAGGGACACGCCCACUGUUGCUGAGGACCUGGUUCCACCCACCAGGGAUGGGGUAGGGGAGAGAAGAUCAGAGGUCCCACCUUCCUUGUGUACUGUAUGUGUCUGUUGGAGUGUAGAUCGUUGUAGCAUAAAGGGUGCAGGUAAAAUUGGCAGGUAGGGCAUUGACAGGAGAUCUCCUGAUGGCUCACAGUGAUGUCCAAACAGCCUCCCAUCGAGGGGCCCUACAUGUCUAAGGUGCAGUUAAAAUUUGGGGGUAGGGAAUUGAAAGGACAUCUCCUGAUUGCUGGUAGUGAUGUCAAAGCACCACUAACAAGGGUCUACAUUUCUAAGGUGCCAUUGAAACCAAGAGGGGAGAGGGCCGUCUCUAUGUGGCAACCAUGGGAGGGGGCCACUGCCAAGUUGCUCCACCCCCGAGGCCCAUCACAGGCUGACCAACACAUUCAUCAAAAUUAUGUGUGUUGUCUUUCAAAGAAACCGUAUUUUUCAUAAUUUAGUUUUUUUUUCUUUCAUAGUAUUAUGAGUUAGAACAUUGACAGAAAGAAAGUUUUAAUAUUGUUAAGAAGACAUCUGAAGAGACUGGAAGGAGGAGCUGCUAACCACAGGAAACUGAUGUAUUUCUCUCAAGAGUUCUGGUUGUCUUCAGUCAGUCAGACAGAAAACAUUGAGAGAAGAAGAGACAGAGAAGAGCAGAGGAGAGAACAAUGUUUGACUUCACAUCACUUCUCUUCCCUCUGAUUCUGACAUGGAUGCUCACAUUUACAGACGCUCAAAUAUUCAGAGACGAGACUGUCAGAGUUGGAGAUGAAGUCACUUUGAAAUGUGAAGAUGCAAAAGAUUUCAGUGAUGGAUGUUACUGGAUCACCUGGAUCUACACUAAUAUGACCAUUCAUCUAUCAUUUACCUUGUUUGAACUCGGAAAUAUUUACAAAGAUGUUGGAUCUAAAUCAGACAGACUGAGAGUUACAGAGAAAUGUUCUCUGGUUAUAAAGAAGAUCACAGAUGAAGAUGCUGGAACAUACAACUGCAGACAGUUCAAUACAUCAGGACACAAGGAGACAGAGUUUCAGGUUGAACUGACAGUUAUAAACAUAAAUGAUGUGACAUCAACACCAAAACCAACAUUGAAACCAUUGUCUAAAAGAAGAGUCUUUGAGUCAACAACCACAUUGAAGCCGUCAUCAUCUUCAGCUAAAUCCAGAUCAACCACAGCAUCAGAUACAUACCACUUUAA